AAGAAACCAAGUGAUGAAAGUAGGGUUAUAACAUGCAUCCCAAUAAAAUUCAAUAUUUACUUUUCUAAUUCCAUCAAAAAAUAAACAUCUGUGCUUUCGGGCAUUCUAUAUAUUGAUGGGUUCUUGAAUAUCACAGUAUGCAAUCUUUCCCUGGCCAUUCUCUAGAUUAGGGAUUUUUCUUCUGUGAAAAAGUGAUAACUACACAUUCAGGCAUUUCAUACACUAAGGGAAUUCUUUGAUAUCACAGUAAGGCACUAAGGCAAAUAAAUUCUAGUGUAAUAUUUACUUGACCAUUCUCUACAUUCGGGUAUUACAUUCAUUUGAGGAGUUCUUGGAUACCACCAUAAAAUAAAGAAAU
rnacentral:misc_RNA from 1 species